AAAAUGAUGCCAUGGCUGUACUUCAGCUUCACCGCCAGGCGCAAUGGAGGUGCGUGGGAAAAUUGCACGGAUGGGUGCAAAAGAGUGAGACCAGACCGCCUUCUUACACCGCACAAACUCGGACUCGUCGAUUCGAGUCCAAAGGAUCUCCCCCAGACAGUGAGGUUGGUGCAGUGGAUGCUGUGCGCAUCCUUCACGUGCGGUUCGCCCUUCCUGAGCCGGCCAGCUCUACUUCCAUCGGGCCCUUUCGUGUGUCAUGUCCAGGUUAAAAACAAGCAAGUAUUAAGAAACGAGCAAGGCGGAGGAAGUCUCAUUUAAACAGUUCAGGCGGCUACCUUGAGACCAGAAAUGCUGCAGCACAAGGAACUUCCUUCGGCAAAUGGUGUCCCUGGUAGAAUCACAGAUGACACGUCAUGCGUCUAUGUCAUCCAACCCUCUUAGGAUUUAAGUGCCCUGUAUGCUCAAAAUUUGUACCCUCAGAUGAAAUGGAUUUACAUCUUGUGAUGUGUUUAACAAAGCCAAGAAUAACAUAUAAUGAGGAUGUCCUGAGUAAAGAUACUGGGGAAUGUGCGAUAUGUCUGGAAGACUUGCAGCAGGGGGACACGAUAGCACGGCUGCCUUGUUUGUGCAUCUACCAUAAAGGCUGCAUAGAUGAAUGGUUUGAAGUAAAUAGAUCUUGCCCUGAGCACCCUUCAGAUUAAGCAUCAGCUUCCUGUUUUAUAGGUUUUCUUCUCUUCUCAAGAUGCUUAAAAAAACAAGAGGAAAUGGGGAUCUGUCUCUGGAAAAACAAAAACAAAAAAUGCAGGCAUACUCAGCCAAAAAUCUGAGUUCUGUGCGACUCAGUUGAUGCAGAGGUGGACAAUCAUAUAGGGGAAAAACCCUGCUGGAGGGAGGACAUUUGCCACAGAACUCAGUGCACCAAACAUGACAUAAGGACUCACAGGGAUUUUGAAAAUGCUGCACAUCCCUUAAUAGUCAUCUACAUAGGGAAGGAUUUACUGUAGCUGUGGGGGUUCACUGCUCAAGUUCUUCUGGAAGUUGACUUUCUGAUAUGAUUUACUCACUGACUUUUAGAGUGUAUCGGCGUAGGUUCCCCUCGGUUCCCUUCUGCCUUGAUCCUGGACCGCACCUUCGUCGUCUUCUGUGAGGCCUGUGCUGCAGCUGCUCAGCGUCUGUCAGUGUCAAGCGCGACUUGUCACUGCGUUUGUCUGGAACAGUAUUGACUUAACUUGUUUAUAGCAAUCCUUUUUUUAUUAAAACUUACAAAAGUUAGCAUUUUUACUUUAAAUUCAGUCUCCAUCAAUACUUCCUAAAAAGAACUGAGAAAUUGAAAAGAAAAUGCUUUUCAAGCCCCGAUGCUCCAGUUUUUAUUCAAAGUUGCUCUUCUGGAAAAUGCUAUAAGUAAUAUUCUACAUAAUGCCACAUAAUAUUUGUAACCCUGUAUGCAGACACUGAAUAGUGUAAGUAGGACAUAAAAUGAUGUUUGUUAUUUAAAUGUGUAGCUCAAAGUACUGGCAGCUGAAUAUUAUGGAGACAAAGAUUGAAAGCCUAGGUCAUCAAGUUGGUGAUAGCUUUCUAGAAUCUUUGUAAAUACUUGCAAAUAAGAUCACACUUGCAAAUAUAGGAAACAGUAUGUUCUGAAAUUUCACUUCAGUGCCACUCUUUUCUUCAUAAUGGAUUUAACUGCCAGUUUUGACUCUUCUCUUACUGAGAUCUGACUUUUUUCCCCCCUCAGGAUAUGUAAGAGAGCAGAAUUAUUGUCUGACUUUCGGCUCUUUGCCAGAGAAAAAGACUAAGCAAGCACAUUAACCUGUGUUUUUCAGAGAUGGUUAUAAAUCAGAUAUAGAUUGUGUUUUAAGAGCAGUGUUUAUGAUUGAAAUAUAAAUAAUGGUUUCUAUAACUGAUUUUUCUGUAGUAGCUGAAACAUUUAAAAACAUGCUGUUAUCUGUUGCAUACUAUAUAGGUUUUCUAUUUCUUUUAUAAGCCAUACAAUUAUUUCAGUUUUCACCCACUAAAUUAGUAGAAUAUGGAGCCCAAAUGCCUGAGGGGCACCCUCAGCAUAUUUGCAAUAUGUAUUUCAGUUAAUAAAAACGGCAGAUUCCAUUUCAAAGCUUAUUUUACUUUCUAAAGUUGGGUCUAGUAACCUGUAAGAGCAAUCAUUUAAAUUAACAUAAUUAUAACAAGACAUACGGGUCUUCCUUUAAAUGAAACAGAUUGUAAAUUCAAUGUAAAUAUUGCCUAAUUUUUUUUACUGACUUGGAGAGUGGAAGAAGGGAAAUUUCCUAACAGUAAGCUACAUUUGAACAAAGCAUGAGAUUCUUUUAAUAAAAAACUCGUGAUAAUUGAAUUUACCAUCUGAUUGACAUCCAUAUUAUGCAUUGAUAAUAUCGAAAUCAUCUUACUCUUUGCAGAGGAAGUUUCCAUAUAAAUUCGGUUAUUGGGAACUUUAUAAAACUACAUAGAGAUAAAUGUUACUUAUUAAAUAUAGUACUGUUUGUUGCAGGAAGUCUUCUAGUUCAUUUGGGCCGUUUUGUUGCAAUUUGAUUUAUUCUGAGGUGAGCUCAGUGUGUAUUGACAAUGGGUGGUUAAAGGUGAUGUGUCCCUUGUUCUUGUACAGAUAUUUUCUAAGUUAAAAAUUCUGGCAUGCCAAUAUUUUGUGUUUGGCCUAUUCCUCCUUUUUUUCCUAAGAUAUGUAACUUCUAAUGUUUUCUUUGCUAUGUUGUGAAUAACAAUAGUCCAGUUAUCUUUUUUACUGGGAACUUUUCAUCUCUACUGGGAUCUUUCCAUUCUGAAACUAAAUUGCCACUUGGUUCUUCAGAGGAAGUAGCUACUUAUUGUGCUCCUAGUGAAUUCCUGCGUUGAAUGGGGAAUACCUGGUCUUUUAAGUCAGGUGAUUCUCUGUGGAAAGUAAAAGGCAUUGAAGAAAACCAGAUGUGUUGAUGUUGAUGAAAAUACAGCGUUACUUUCUUUAUGGAGUCGAUACAUUUUCAGGACAAGAUCUCUGUCUGGGAAAAGCUGAUUAUGCCAGAAGUAUCUGCUGGAGAACCUGAGAUAAAGAACACCAAUUCCGACACCACUGAUUGGAUCUUACAUGGAAGGCAGAGCCUUAAGAAGCCAGUCAGGAAUACUGGGCAAGUUGUGAGAAAGCAGGAGUGUGUGUGUGUGUGUGUGUGUGCGCGCGUGUGUGUGUGUGUCUGUCUGUCUGUCUGUUAGGGUUCAGGAGGUAUUAGACACAAUAGUUUCCAGCACCGUUAGAGCUCUGAGGCGUAAGUGCAUGGUAAGUACACUGAGCGAGUGGAAGGUCUAGGCUGGCUGAACUGGACCUUUCCUGGCACCCUGCCCCCUCUUACCCACAGAUGCCCGUUGGAUAGGGCCGUGCUUCCCCAGGGUUGCUCAGUGCUGAGGUGCCUCCAAUGAGCAACCCUGGGGUUUUCUCUCUGGUUCAUCUGUCCCAUAUCUUUCCAUCCUACCAGUGUUCUCAGACAUUCACACCAGAAGAAAGUUGUUGUUGGAAGCAGAGUCUGUGGAAGUAGACAGGAAGGGUGAAUCCUGCUGUCCAAGGGAUGCUGCUGUUGGGAUGGCUGGGUCAGGUUGGCAAGAGGAGGACCAGGAAACAUGGGUCAGCUCCCGGGGAAAAUUAUAAUUCCAGGCAAAAGUUGGUAAUGUGUAUGGCAUCGCAAAUGUAUGACUAGUGUGGGUGUGCAAAGCCUACUUCUUGAAUAAGCAUUUGUGUCAGACCUUUUAAGGGGUAAGAGUAGUAAAGUCACUGGAAAAUUCUUUAUCUGACUGGUAAGUGUGAGUGCUGCUGAAACAAAUGAAAACAGAUGAAAGUAUUGCAAACACAGAUUGUGGUCGAGACAGCCAGACACAGAUGUGGGAACUCAUUUUCGUUUUUAGAGGCUUGUUUCCUCAACAAGAACCGUGUUCUAUUUCUAACCAGUUUUCUUUCACAGCUUUUCAAAAACAACUCGAGUAAGUUCUAAUUUACAUACAACAAAAACAUCCAUUGGAAAGGUACGGUCUGAUGAGUUUGGACACUUGUAUACACCUGAGCAACUAUCACCAUGACAGAUAGGGAACAUUAGUAUCACCCCUCAAAAGUUACCGCCAGCCUCUUUCCACUCGGGUCCCAUCCACCCAUCGUCCUCAGCCCUGGGCAGCACGGACCUGCUUCUUGUCACUGUGGACUAGAUGAAAACAUUCAAAAUGUCCUUUAUUUGUGUAAGGCUUGUUUUGCUCAUCGUGUCUGUGAUAGGCAUCAGUUUGUUGCUUGAAUCAGUUCUUUUUUAUUGCUGAGUAGUAUUCCAUUGUAUGAAGAUACUACAGUUCGUUACCCAUUCUAUUGCUGGACACCUGGGCUAUUUCUAAUUUGGGCUAUUAUGAAUAAAGUAUCUGUAACAUUUAUAUAUAAAUCUUAUGUGAACAUGUGAUUUCAUCUCUCUUGAAUAAAUACCUAGGAGUGGAAUUACUGAGUUGUAAAUAUUUGUUUACCUUUGUAAGAUGCUGCCACACUGAUUUGCCUAUUUCGGCCCUUCCCCAAUACUACACUGUCUUGAUUAUUAUAACUUUGUGCUUUGCAGUAAUCUUGAAAUUAGGUACUGUAGGUCUUCCAACUUUCCUCCUUUUUCUUUUAUUUUCAAAAUGUUUGUUUUUCUAGUUCCUUUGGUCUUUCAUGUAAAGUUUAGAACCAAUCUGUCAGUUGCUACAAAAACUCCUGCUGGUACUUUGAGAUUGCAUUGAAUCUACAGAUCAGUUGUUUUAGUUACAACAUGAACUCUUCCAGCCAUUGAGCACAUAAUAUCACCAUUUAUUUCGGUUUUUUAAAUGUCUUCAACAUUUUAUAAUUUUCAGCCUAUGGAUCUUGAUAAAUUUAUACCUAAUUAUUGCAUGGUUUAUAGUGUUAUUGUAAAUGAUGCUGUUCUUACAUUUUUAAUUUCCAGUUGUUUACUGCUAGUACAUGAAAAACAAUUGAAUUUUGUACAUUGAUUUUGUAUCCUAUUAUCUUCUUUAACUCACUUAUUCUAGUAGUUUUUUUGUAUAUUCUUUUGAAAUUUUCUACAUAGACAGUCAUACUGUCUCUAUAAAUAGAUCAUUACUUUCUUUGUAAUCUUUUAUUUUCUGUUCUUUUUUCUUUAUUUUUAGCUCCUGUCACUUCUUUCUUCUUUAUUUCCCUUCCCCUUCUCUUUUUCUCUCUUCUCCUCCCCUCUUCUUCCCUCUUUUCCUUCCUUGCUUCCUCUUCCCUUCUUUCUUAUUACAUUGGCUAGAUCUCCAGAGAGAUCUGAAUGGAAGUGCUAAAAGUUGAGAGUGUAAAGGGAACACAUUCAGUCUUUCACUAUUAAAUUUAACUGUAGGGUUGUUUUGUAGAUGUCCUCUAUAAAAUUGAGGGAUUAUCUUUUGUUCCCGUUUCCUAAGAGGACUUAGGAAUAAAUGUUGAAUUUUGUCGAA